UUUACAAAGCAGGAUGAGCUAUAGCUUAUGAUGCUUGGAGUGUUUAUAGCCACCGGGUACUGCAUAACAUCACAGAAAGCUUCUGUUCUUGGAUCCCCCACCUAGGAUUUAUUGCUUGUGUUUGUAUGUUCUCAAAUGAUAUUGUUACUGCAGCAAUAAGACCAAUAUUAACGAAUGCAAACAAUAAACUAAAUUCAGAGAACAAAAUAGUUUGUAUUAAAGUAGGUAUGGCUAAAGAACAAAAAAGGUUAUUCGUAUACCCUCCCUUACGAACUGUCCAACUGACUGAUUUUUGUGGAAACAGAGUUGCAUAAAGUCUCACAAUGCAGGGAACCAAUCGGCCUUCUCAACGCAAUGCUCCUCAUAAAAUNNN
rnacentral:lncRNA from 1 species